GUUCUCGUGGUGUAGUGGUUAUCAUACUCUCUUAGGGUGAUCUAACAUCUUGAGCUUAGCCUCCAGAUCCUCUUCUGAGGAUUGACUGGGAGUGGCCCCGGGUUCAAAUCCCGGCGAGGACC
rnacentral:tRNA from 1 species